GAGCGAUUUGUCGAGUUAAUUCCGUUACAGAACGAGACCACAGCCUACUAAUAGUACGUGUUAUGGUAACAUAGUAUGAGACUUCUUAGAGGGACAUUUCGGGUUACCGAAAGGAAGUUUGUGGCAAUAACAGGUCUGUGAUGCCCUUAGAUGUUCUGGGCCGCACGCGCGCUACACUGACGACUUCAACAAGUUUUUUGGCAUUGCCAAAUUUCCUUGGCCGGAAGGUCUGGGUAAUCUUUUAAAAGGUCGUCGUGAUGGGGCUAGAUUCUUGCAAUUAUUAAUCUCCAACGAGGAACC
rnacentral:rRNA from 1 species